AUGACCUUCAUCAUCAUCUUCAUCUGGACUCUCACAGCGUUUGCUCAAGAGUGUAGAGGACAGAUCACCGUCACUCAGAGUCCCUCAAUGACAGCAGCUCAACCAGGACAAACUGUGAACAUCAACUGUAAAACCAGCAGAGAUGUGCGCAGAUGGACUAAUGGGGAUGAUUAUUUAUUCUGGUACUUACAGAAACCUGGAGAAGCUCCUAAACUUCUGAUUCAAUAUGUAAAAAAACUCUACACAGGAACUCCAUCUAGAUUCAGUGGCAGUGGAUCUAACAGUGAUUUCACUCUGACCAUCAGUGGAGUCCAGACUGAAGAUGCUGGACAUUAUUACUGUAAGAGUUUCCACUGCAGAACAGGUUCUGAUGCUUAUUGUGUGGGUGAUCGUAUGUUCACACAGUGAUAAAGAGUCGUACAAAAACCUCCGUCAGUCAGAGUCACAGUGACUGAACUGAUACUGCAGCUGCUCAAAGGAGGAUCUGAAACAACAUCACACAUGCAUCUGAAAUAAAAUCAUCUAAAUUAAGCUCUUUUAUAGACUAUUGAGGUCAGAAAUUAAAGCAUUAGUUGAAAGAAACAACUAGACAAAGUCCAUCAGUGUCUCUACCCAGCUAACAGCAUUUUGUAAUAAGAACACUGUCUAAAUAU